UUUGCUUUCACAAGAUGGCAUUGAGUGUCUGAGGCCUUUCCAGGCACCUUCUCAACAUCUAUGACUGUCUUUGAACUGCUCAUAAAGAGCGCUGAUUGAUGUGACACUUCACAUGCCCACCAUGAAAUUAGGAAGGCCCUUAGAUCUCCUUCAAACCCGUGGUGCCGGUGCCUUUGCCCCAUCAAUCAGAGAUGAAACUGUGAUUGCAUUGCAAGGAGACGAGGCCAUCCUGGAGUUCUGCCAUGAAAGAAUCACUGGGACUCAAAGGAGGGGAAAACAAGGGAAGGGGAGAAGGAAAGAGAAGCUGCUUCCAGAAGGAAUAAAUUUGUGUGUGUACUUUGA